UGGGGAAUAUUGCACAAUGGGCGCAAGCCUGAUGCAGCCAUGCCGCGUGUAUGAAGAAGGCCUUCGGGUUGUAAAGUACUUUCAGCGGGGAGGAAGGUGUUGAGGUUAAUAACCUCAGCAAUUGACGUUACCCGCAGAAGAAGCACCGGCUAACUCCGUGCCAGCAGACCGCGGUAAUACGGAGGGUGCAAGCGUUAAUCGGAAUUACUGGGCGUAAAGCGCACGCAGGCGGUCUGUUAAGUCAGAUGUGAAAUCCCCGGGCUCAACCUGGGAACUGCAUUUGAAACUGGCAGGCUUGAGUCUUGUAGAGGGGGGUAGAAUUCCAGGUGUAGCGGUGAAAUGCGUAGAGAUCUGGAGGAAUUACCGGUGGCGAAGGCGGCCCCCUGGACAAAGACUGACGCUCAGGUGCGAAAGCGUGGGGAGCAAACA
rnacentral:rRNA from 1 species